rnacentral:rRNA from 1 species
AGGGGCAACCCUUAGUAGAGCGGCGCACGGGUGCGUAACACGUGGAUAAUCUGCCUGGAUGCCUGGGAUAACCAGUCGAAAGAUUGGCUAAUACCGGAUAAGCCCACGGUUUCUUCGGAGACUGAGGGAAAAGGUGGCCUCUGUAUACAAGCUAUCACAACCAGAUGAGUCCGCGGCCCAUCAGCUAGUUGGCGGGGUAAUGGCCCACCAAGGCGACGACGGGUAGCUGGUCUGAGAGGACGAUCAGCCACACUGGAACUGAGACACGGUCCAGACUCCUACGGGAGGCAGCAGUGGGGAAUUUUGCGCAAUGGGCGAAAGCCUGACGCAGCAACGCCGCGUGUGUGAUGAAGGUCUUUGGAUUGUAAAGCACUUUCGACCGGGACGAAACCGUAAAGCCUAAUACGCUUUGCCUUGACGGUACCGGGAGAAGAAGCACCGGCUAACUCUGUGCCAGCAGCCGCGGUAAUACAGAGGGUGCAAGCGUUGUUCGGAAUUAUUGGGCGUAAAGCGCGUGUAGGCGGCUUUGCAAGUCGGGUGUGAAAGCCCUCAGCUCAACUGAGGAAGUGCGCCCGAAACUGCAGAGCUUGAGUGCCGGAGAGGGUGGCGGAAUUCCCCAAGUAGAGGUGAAAUUCGUAGAUAUGGGGAGGAACACCGGUGGCGAAGGCGGCCACCUGGACGGUAACUGACGCUGAGACGCGAAAGCGUGGGUAGCAAACAGGAUUAGAUACCCUGGUAGUCCACGCCGUAAACGAUGAGAACUAGGUGUCGUGAGAGUUGACCCCCGCGGUGCCGUAGCU